AUGAGGACAUCUUUGGGGGAGCAUUCUUCUGCCUACCACACACCCCAUGGCCUUAUCUCACCUCAAAAGAAUCCCUGGGUUUCCACACCAUUAAGAUUUUUUCACGUAGGCCCUAACAGCGUUCUGAAACAUUUAGCGGGGGCCUCAGGGCCUAGGUUUGCUUGUGCCCUGGUCCUUCAGCCAUAUCUGAGACACCCGUACUUCUCUUCCUCUACAGCAACCCAAGUCCCAAACGUGGUGAAGCAGGAGUUCACGGAUAAAUCACCUCCAGACAGGCUUGUCAAGGGAACCAUCUUUCUGCAGCGGGCCUCCCACACUCCCUCUUGUGGACAGACCUGGAGCUUCCUGCUCAUCUGCUUUGCCCACCUACCUUUGAUAACUGUUGACUCUCAUGCGUGGGACACCAGAGGAACUAACUCCGAAAGCCAGCGGUGGCGCCUGUGUACCACGUAUCGCCGCCGGCAGAUGGCGGUGGACUCACCGGCGGGCUCCUCGGGUAAAGCACCCGGAGUUUGUAAAUUGGAAGCAGGGCGUCUGAUUGCAGAGUCCGCACCUGGAGAGGACCGUUCCGGCCAUUCGUGUGGCGAGACACAGGCCUUUGUUGUGCGCCGGUUGCUGUUGCCUGGUCCCUGCCUGGGACUAGCUCGGGUUCAGGUCUCCCCCUAUUCAGUCGCCGCCCGCGUCUCUCUUCCCAACAGCAGAGCUCAUUUCCUGCUUGGCCUGGGCCCGGGCUGCUCCCGGCCUCGGAACGCGGUUCACAAGGUCUCCGCGCGGCGGCCUCAGCGAGCAGUCUCCAGGCGCCCGCUUUCUCAGAGGUCUGCUAUGGCUGCUGUCUCUGACUUGGUUCUCCUCUCCCCAUCUCUUUGCACGCAUUUGUUUUCUUCACAGCUGCAGUUAUUAUCUGAUAUUACGCAUUUCUUUUAUGCAUAUUAGCCAGCCGUGGUGUCAGGGGCCUUUUCCGGUCUCCGUUACUGUCAUUCCCGGAGUCGGGACGCAGAACUGGCGCAGAGCUGCUUCUCAAGGUGCGGGAAUUUGCUGAGUCAGCGCGGGGUGGUGGCGCGCGCGCAACCCCAGCUUUCUAGGAGGCUGAGGCAAGUUUGAGCCCUGCCGGGACAAUUUAGCAACUUAUCAAAAACCUGUCGCAAGAUAAGAGGAAAAAGAAGGGACUAAGGAUAUAUUUCAGAGCGGAAGCCCUGGGUUCAAUCCCCAGUGUCACAAAACCAAAACCAAACCAAAAACCAAAAACUAAAACAACUACAAAAAUCAGCGCUCAACCCCGAAACCAACCUCCCCCCAAACAACCCAACAUCAACAACGACAACAACCUGAGUUACUUAAUGAAUGAACACACUUCUUCUGUAACCUGAUGUCAUUCAGUAUCAGAUGCAUUUCUUCAAAUAUUUUAUGAACAACUCAGAGAGCAAAGUUGAAAAAACUUUACAGCGAAUCCCCCUUCACCUAGAUUCUACUCUGACCAGUGCCUUACACUUCCUAUAACACGUAGCUUUUCACCUUUUGGCACCUUUAUCCAUCCAUCCAUUUUCUGGACGUAUUUCAGAGUAAACUGAAGAAUCAGUACUCUCCCUGCUAAGUACUUCCACACGUUGUUAUUAACCGGAGUUCGGUAUUUUUCAUAUAUUUCGUUUGCGGUUAAUUUGUGUAAAACAAUAUACAGAUCUAAGUGUAAGUUUACUUGACUUUGACAAAUACGUAGUCUGUACCAAACUUCUAUCAAGCACUUUACCAAAGAAGAUUUGGGGAUGGCUAAUAAGCACAGGAAAGCUCAACAUUAUUAGUCAUUAGAGAAGUACAAUUAAAACUAUGACGGGCACUGUUCUGAAACUAUCAGAAUGACUAAAAAAUAUAUCGUACCAAAUUGUGGUGGGGUUGUGCAGAAACUGGAUCUCUUUACAUUGCUGGUGAGAACGUUAGGUGAUGUGGGCACUGUGUAAAUCCUUGUGGCAGUUUCCUAGGAGUUGAACAGUUUACCACAUGAGCCAGCAAUCACACUCCUCGGGGUUUAGCCCAGAGAAUGAAAACUCACGUUGCCACAGAAAUCUGGUCUCAGUGUUUAUAGCAGCUUUAUUUGUAAUGGCCCAAAUCUGGAAAUACUCCAAUGCUUUCCAACUGGUGAGUGGCUUAAAAAGUUGUGACAGUUCCAUAAAAUGGAAUGUUUGUCAGCUAAAUUGGAAGGACAGAUUUUGACAUAGGCAGCAAUUUGGACAGAGCAGAAGGGCAUUAAGCUGAGUGAACCAAAGGCCAAUCUCAAAGGCUCGCCACAUGUAUACUUAUGAUGACACAUCAUCCCUCCAGGGACAGAGCAAAAGAAAUAGAGACUGGAUAAGUGGAUGCAGGGUUUUGGGAAGGGCACAGGUGUGACUUUAUUUUUGCAGUGCUGACGAUUGAACUUGGGACCUCCAAUCUGCUGGGCACUGGCUCCAUUGCCGAGUUACAGCCCAGCCUGAGGUUUAAUUCCACAAGACUCACUUGUGGGUUGCGGGGUGGCUCAGUGGUACAGCCAGUGGCCCUGAGUUUGAUCCCCAGUAUCACACACACACACACACACACACACACACACACACACACACGUAAAUUCCUUUGUGUUGAGAGCAGCUGUGUGUCUUGAUUGCAAAGGUAGUUAUUUGAGUUUGGGCAUGUGUUCAAGUGCAUAGAGCUAAUGCAAAGAGGUACAGGAUGAGUUCAUGAUGAACUGGUGACCUUUGAGGAGGGUCUGUAGUCUGAUUAAUUGUACUGUGUCAAUGUCAAAACUGUGGUUUUGAUAAAGUAGUGUAAUUUAGACAUUGUCUCCAAGACUGGUGAGAUUUUGAAGCUGUCGUCAUUGCAGCAGACUCUAGAGCCCAGCCAUUCCCAAAAUGUGGUCAGCAGACCCCUGGGAGUCCCCAAACCACUUCAAGUGGCCCUUCAGGGUCACACUUUUCACUAGAAUGCAGAAAUAAGUGGCCUUUCUUUUUGCCAAGAUGUCCAUACUUGCUGCCUGAUAGUGAGUAAAACUUGGAGCUGCACACCAGGGUCUUGCAGGCGAAAGUGCCAGAGCAAGAUAAAUACCAAGUAAACCCCAAACUUGUGUCAUUUAAGAAUGUCCUCGAGGGCAAGGGAUUUAGCUCAGCAGUUCUGCCGCUUGCCUUGCAAGCGCAAGGACCCGAGUUUGAUCCCCGGUAUAAAAAAAAAAAAAAAAAAGAAAAGAAAGAAUAUCCUCAGGCUGGGGAUUUAGCUCAGUGGCUCACUUACCUGAUAAGUGCAAGGUCCUGAGUUCAAUACCCAGUGCCAAAAAUUAACAAAGAAUGUUCUCAAUGACAGCUAUAUUUUCUUUCAAUUUUCACCCCUCACAUACACAUCUUUUACUUAUUUUUUUGUCAGUAUUGGGGAUUGAUCCAGGGACUUAUGCAUACUAAGCCACCACUGCCAUGAAGCUACAUCCCCAGCCCUUUUUUUUUUUUUUUUUUUGAGAUAGGGUCUUGAUAAGUUACACAAGUUGGCCUAGAACUUGUGAUCCUUCUGCCUCAGCUUCCAAGUAGCUGGGUGUUAUGGUUUGGGUCUAGAUGUCCCCACAAAGCCUCAUGUGGUCAUAGGUGGGUGAAUUGAGAGGGUGCAAUAUUAGGACUAAGGGCGUGUGAUUACUUGACCACUACAUGUGAGUGAUUGGUUUGGCACUGCCCUGAUCCAAGUAGUCUGAAUAGGAUAAAAGGAGCAGAAAGACACUCUUAGGAUUUCUUGAUGCUUUUUGCUACUCCUGCUGCUGUGAACUGUUGCCCUUCUGCCUCCCUACCUUGGAGCCAGCCUAUUAUGGACUGAGAUCUCUACACACUGUCAGCCAAAAAUAAACCUUUUCCCCUUUAACUUUGGAUGUUGGGUAUUUUGUCUCAGCAACGAGAAAAAAGUAACACUGUGGGCUUCCAGGCAUGAGCCCAGCUUUCAUGAACAUCUUUUUAAUAUGCUGCCUGGUGCAAUGGGAAGACCCUCAGAGCAAUUUGAAAUGUGAUGAUUGUCUCCAGGAAGAAAGCUCUCGUCCUAUUGUUUGCAUUGUGAAUCGACUCAUCACUCAUAUUUUUACUUGAAUGAGUGACUUACAAACAGACUAUGGCUCUUCUUAGUAUUUUGAGAUAAGUUUCCAUAAGUGACUCACUCAAGCCAGUCAAUUCCAGAGGGAUUCCUGGCUGUAUUUGUUGGCAAUAUAAGAUUCAAACUGUAUUUACUACCAGGGCUUCAAGACUUCUGAUGAGUUCAAUGGUAAUGUGAACACACGGAAUUUUGGUAUUAUAUUAUUAUGAAACAUGUCAAAAAGUGAAAUGCCAGUAUAACUCUGCAUCAGUAUUUUCCAAUGACCAAAGCAUGAGCUGACCAAAUCAUGCUUGGUUAAUAAAACAAAAUAGAUGAAUGGAAUUUUAAUGUAACAGAGGACAGGAAAUUUCAGUGACAAGAUCAGAUUCCAUGUUACAACUAGCCUUUAAGAAACAGCCACUCAUUUGGGUUUUGGUGUCACAUGAGAGAAGAUUACACAUAAAUAGCUGAACAGGCACCAAAACAGUCCUCCUCUCCCAACCACACAUAUUUCAACCAGAACAUAUGGCAGCAG
rnacentral:lncRNA from 1 species